rnacentral:rRNA from 1 species
AUUGAACGCUGGCGGCAGGCCUAACACAUGCAAGUCGAACGAGUGGCGGACGGGUGAGUAAUGUCUGGGAAACUGCCUGAUGGAGGGGGAUAACUACUGGAAACGGUAGCCAAUACCGCAUACCAUCGGAUGUGUCCAGAUGGGAUUAGCUAGUAGGUGGGGUAACGGCUCACCUAGGCGACGAUCCCUAGCUGGUCUGAGAGGAUGACCAUGCACACUGCAACUGAGACACGGUCCGGCCUCCUACAGGAGGCAGCAGUGGGGAAGCUUGCACAAUGGGCGCAAGCCUGAUACAGCCAAGCCGCGUUUAUGAAGAAGGCCUUCAGAUUGCAAGGUAAUUUCAGCGGGGAGGCGUUACCCACAGAAGAAGCGCCGGCUAACUCCGUGGCAGCAGCCGCGGUAAUAC